GAAGGAGAGCCAUUACCUGCACCCAAGGGAAGGGGGUGGCCAGGCUCCAGACUCACUGGAGACAUCCUGACACAGUAUGCUUUGCCUAGCACAAUGUGAUGCCCUUUACAUAGUAAGAGUGAGUCUCAUAAAGGUGCUGCCUUCCCCCGCAGAACAAACAGCGGAAAUGCAUCAGGAGAGCUCAGCUGCAGACAGAAUGUACAUCGUGAAGCAGGAGCCACCACGGGAUUCCUUAGAUGAAAGCCGAUUUCAAUGAACAUUGUGUUUCAAAGCCUGCUUCCUCUUGCACCGUAAGAGCUGCAGAAGGAACAUCCCACUUGCGUCUGCUGACACAAAAGAAUGCUGUGGUUGGGAGAUCUUAUCGAGCCUUCCUGUGCCACAGUAACAGAGCUCCACUUGUGUCUUGUAAGAAUUGUUCAUUGUUUCAUGGGGACGACUGGCUUCUUUGGGUGGGAUCUGACGGCAUCUCAUGGAAUGGAGCAAUAAGAGCAUGCCUUUGGGACAAUGGAUGGAAUCAGAGUUGAACUGAAGCCAACUCCAGUUUUUUAAGGAAAAAUUUUCAUGACACUUCCAGAUAAGAAAAUUGAGGCACAUAAGGAUUGAACAACUUACAAGAGUAGAAGCCCAGCUCGAAUGCACCUCACUCCUGAUUUGAACUAUCUGGAUGAUGGGAUAAAAACAUCCAAGGCACAAGCCCAGGGCGAUGAGCAGUGAAGCAAAGACACUUGCAUCCCUCCCCAAACCGAGAUGCAAAGGUACAUUUGAAAAAGAAAAGCCAUGGCUUGGGUGACACAUGCUUAGCAUUUCAGACGGGGUAAGACUCCUUGUUUAACAGAAGACUAGUAUACUCACGUCCGGAAGAUAUAUUGUGGAGAAGCAGGCCAACUGUUCUGAUUCCGCAAUUCUUGGGCCUUCUGCGUAAUCCUGGGAUUUCAAGAUGAAGCAGACUCUCUGGCCUCUCCACUCCAUUCCUUUGUUCCCAUAUCUGAGUAUCUUCAGGCUGAUAAGCAUCUGCCUAUAAUAAGAGCUCUAUUUGCUAAGCAUCUACUGUAUAUCACACCCUGGACCAGGAGCUUCACAAACCUCAUCGCAUUUGGAAUUUUCAAUCCCUGGAGGUAUUGUUUGCACACCUUGCAGAUCUUUCUAGUAGCUGUGUUACCAGUAAGCCACGGGGGCACAGAGCCUAUGUAGAAAGACCAAUUAUAUGGCUGCUGAAAUGAAGAGAAAGAGCGAAGUCAAGGUGGAUGCCAAGAUUUGGGGCCUGAGCGACUGGCAAGACCGAGUUGCCACACGGUGAGCAAAGGAACUGAGCAGCGUUCAGAGCGGCUGCAGGAGAGCCCGAGUGCCAGGCCUGGCGGUCCCGCACGCUGCUCCAGACAAGUUCCAGGGCCCAGAAGACCCAAGUCCACGUUGACAUCGGGUACCGGAAGCUCCGCCUCUGCUGCCAGAAGCCCCGGCUGUCACUCACCAGAAAAAAAUACAAAUAAAUACACUAUUCCAUACCUUCCUGCUUCUCACUUCCCUCUUCAGAUAAGGACGACCUGAUGGGCAGAGCCGGGUCCCAGACCGCAGAGGAGCCCGGCUGCAGGCGCUGGUUUCUAGCUGGAGGAUUGGAGGGCACAAGCUCUACCCCCGCCCCUGAAAAGCAAGUUGCCAGGGCUUGACCACCAGCAAACCCCAAGAUAUUCUUGCAAUCACUUCUGUGCUCAUUACUAAAUGCUCCGUGAACAUAUUCUUAAAAGGGACAUGAUGUCUUUAUUCUCGACUUCCAGUUCCAGACCAGGUUUCUUGUGGAAUGUGCCGCCAGCCUUGUCCCAGACGGGAUAAAAGGCCUGAAGCAGGGUGGUGAAAACUACAUCACUGUUUGAGAAAUAGUUCCGUGAGAAAAAAACCCCCAAAACACAAGAUGCUUGAAACUUGGGAAUAAAACAUUUCCAGAGAAGAAUUAAUAAUAGUCUUCAGGCAUAAGAGGGAAUAUACACCAUGUAAAUGAUAAAUGGAUAAUUAAAAUU